AUUCCGGUUGAUCCUGCCGGAGGACAUUGCUAUUGGGAUUCGAUUUAGCCAUGCUAGUCGAACGAGUUCAGACUCGUGGCGAAUAGCUCAGUAACACGUGGCCAAGCUCCCCUUCAGUCAGCGAUACCCUCGGGAAACUGAGGUUAACAGCUGAUACAAAACGCCAGCUGGAAUGCGGCGUUUCAGAAAGACAUCGCUGAAGGAUGCGGCUGCGGCCGAUUAGGUAGACGGUGGGGUAACGGCCCACCGUGCCAGUAAUCGGUACGGGUGAUGAGAGUCAGAGCCCGGAGACGGAAUCUGAGACAAGAUUCCGGGCCCUACGGGGCGCAGCAGGCGCGAAACCUUUACACUGCACGGAAGUGCGAUAGGGGAAUCCCAAGUGCGAGGGCAUAUUAGCCCUCGCUUUUCUCGACUGUAAGGUGGUCGACGAAUAAGAGCUGGGCAAGACCGGUGCCAGCCGCCGCGGUAAUACCGGCAGCUCAAGUGAUGUCCCAUAUUAUUGGGGCCUAAAGCGUCCGUAGCU
rnacentral:rRNA from 1 species